UACGUAGGGUGCGAGCGUUGUCCGGAAUUAUUGGGCGUAAAGAGCUCGUAGGCGGCUUGUCGCGUCGGAUGUGAAAGCCCGGGGCUUAACUCCGGGUCUGCAUUCGAUACGGGCAGGCUAGAGUUCGGUAGGGGAGAUCGGAAUUCCUGGUGUAGCGGUGGAAUGCGCAGAUAUCAGGAGGAACACCGGUGGCGAAGGCGGGUCUCUGGGCAGUAACUGACGCUGAGGAGCGAAAGCGUGGGGAGCGAACAGG
rnacentral:rRNA from 1 species